rnacentral:tRNA from 1 species
GCCCCGGUAGUUCAAUGGACAGAACAGGGCACUCCUAAGGCUCUGAUGUGAGUUCGAUUCUCGCCCGGGGCACAA